GAACCGGUAGUAAAAAAUGCUAUUAAAAAGUUUUUUAAAGGUUCCAACAAUCACGUGCCACAGCUAUGAUCAUCGGAAUCUUUUUAAAGCAUUUUUUUUCUACUGGUUCUGGAGAACCGGUAGUUACAAAUGCUUUAAAAAGUAAAAAAAAAAAAGUUCCAACAAUCACGCAUCACUCAGGUGUUCUUCUGAAGUUGUUGUGUUGUUGUUUUUUACUGUUUUUACUACCGGUUCAGGGAACCAGUAGCAUUUUUAACUAUCUGUUUGGGCAAACCAGCCUGAACCGGUAGCAUUUCACUCCUGUUUUGGAAGAACUCUUUAAGAGUGAAUGAAUGACUGUCAUAACUUUGAAUGAUUUCGAAACCAUAAGUCAAAGUUUACCUGAUAUUACUGCAAUGUGCAUGCAUUGGCUCCUGAGGAACACUUGGAAGCUAUUAAAUUUAUGUUUUACUGACAAAGAAAUAAAAGGAGGCUAAUAUAGAUUUAUUUCAAGCUAUUUAACUCUCAUCAGCUAGCCAUACCUUUCUGGGAGCCGAACCCAAGCUGCUUGCAUAUUAGAUAGAUGUAUUAACCUCUAAGUCUCCCUUUAUUUCUUUGUCGGUAAAACAUAAAUUUUAACACAAAAAUAGUUUGUCAUGAAAGCGUCUGCCUGCUAAGACCCCUGGAUUGGGGCUAAAAGGCGAAAAUGGAAGCAGUAUGCUCUAUCCCAUAAUUGGGUAGACCAGGUUGUCCUGACAGACCUGAGAAAAAAACACUUGGAAGCUAUAGUACGCCUUUAUAUCUUGGUACUACUCCAUGUAACACUGCCCAUAUCACAUGAGCUGCAGGGGAUAUUGGUAGGCUUCUGGAUGCUAUUCAAGGUGUUGGUUGUCACUCAUGGGAAAGGGUGUGUGUGUGUGUGUGUGUGUGUGUGUGUGUGUGUGUACACAUGCAUGAAUGCAUGCUGUUUUUAUGUUGUUUACAGUGUGAUUGAAGUAAAUAUUUUGGUGUUCCUAUUUAUUAAGUAAGUUUAGAUACUGGCAGCCAAAAUUAUUUGCUGAUACUAUUGUUUAUUGUGACACCCUUUCAGCAUUCUCAUAUUUCUCAAAAAUAAUCUCCUUAAGUUAUUUUUUUUUAAUACAAGUUGUGUGGUAAAUAGUACUUACCGUGAUCAGCCACUCUUUUACAGACCUGAGAUGAAAAUUUUGAGUUUCAAAUUUUGUUUUCAGUUCAGAACAAUUUUUUUUACAAAAUAUAUAUAUACAUUGUUCUAAGGCACAAUGCACCAAGACCAAAAAUUUGCAGGAAUAAUACCAUUAAAUUAAUAAUAUUCAUUAAUUAAUGAACUAAUUAUUAAUAUUAAUAAAUUAGCUUAUUAAUUAAACUUAUUGUAUAGGUUUUUUGUUAAUGUCACUAAAUCCAGCCAAGCUAGUAUAUGUCUUGAGUCUAAACAAUACAAAGAAAUCUGAAUAAAAUAAUACCAGGGGUAGGGAAUACACUAUUGUUUUAAAACAAAAACAUUGUAACAUAUGCUUUUACUAUGUAAGCGUUUUUCUAAAUAUGUGACAUAUUGAACCAAUGAAACAUAAUGAACCAAUGAAAUACUCUAAACUUUUAAUAAAUACAGAUUGUAGUUAUACAGUUGUAAAAAAAUGUUAUUUCCUGAUGUUUGUUUGUUUGCUUGCUGGAGAUCACUAUAUAAAUACAUAUGCAUCACACAAUUUCCUUUUGGGAUCAGCAACAUUCUUUGGAGGACAGGAAAAGAUUAAGAAAUAGUAAACCAAGAAUCAAGGGAAUGAGAAAAGAAAAAGAAAAGAAAACAUAAGCAAAACUAGUUCACAGAAAUAUUAUUCACUAUUCUUUUCUAUUCCUCUUUAUAGUUGUAAAUUACUCUUACUCCACCAUGGCCAAGCACUACUUCAUGCAUUGUAUUUUGUUCUCUAAACUAGCUGUCUCCAACCUUUAUGACUUGAGAGGGGAGGGAAACUAUGCACAUGUGUGAACUCUGCCCAGCCAUUCAUGCAGUCCAAUUCAGAACAGGCUAAGGGCUGCUAGUGGGUCGCGGCCAGUGGGUUGUGGACUCCUAAACUUUUCACCUCUCUCUGGUUCAAGUUCAUUUCUGUACCUGAUCAUAUAUUACCCAUAAAUUUUCUAUCAGCAUUUGCACAUUUUCAAAUUUCUCCAUCCAUUUCCCCAUGUUUAGUAAACUACAGUACACAAAUUGACUAAUAACUUUUCUUCAUUUUACAUUUCAGAUACAACUAAUUUGCUCUUUGAUAUAUUAAUUCUCAGACCUAUAUUCUUUAUUGCAUCCUAAUCAUAGGAAAUACUAAAUUUAUAUCAAAUCAUUUGGGGUCUCAGCUAACAAAUCGAUCUGCAUGCAAAAAUUCAUGACCCAGUCAAAGCGUAUUUAAUAUCACUACAGCUAUUCUUUAGACAUUCAAAUAUACAUUAAACUAGUGGUUCCCAACCAUUUUGGCCAUGCCCCACCUAAGCAUCUCUAAAAUUUUGACUCACACACCACCACCACCAUCCCUGUGACAUAUAAUUCUUACUAUUUAAAAAGUGACACCUACUCAGAGGAAGCCUAAAAGGCCAUUAACAUGGUUUAAACAAGGUUCCAAUUGCCCCCAUUAAAAAUCAAACUGCCCCCCUGUUGGGCGUGGGCCCCACGUUGGGAAUUACUGCAUUAAACAAAAGGACAUCACACUCAUUUAUCUUAUUUUGAGCAAUUUUCUAGGCAUUCCAUGUAUACCAUGUAUAUUUUGUUAUUAUGCUCAGCAACCAACCUUAAAUUCUGUAUUGAUGCAAAAUAUUCCAUAAUUUAAGUUUCCACACUACCAUAAUUUUCUCUAAAUCAGUGAAUAUAUAAUAAAUUUUCUUUUUCACAUUCACACAUUUCUCAAUCCAGAGUUUGACUUAUAUCUAUUUUAAAAAAUAGAAACAAUUCUAUAGUAAUUUUUAUGAUGGAUUAUUAGUCUUUUACUGGCAAACCAUAGGCAAUAAUAUGUAGAAAUAAUAAAAAUGCGGGGAAUGGUGUGAUCUGAAGCCGAACUUCCCCUAUAUUUCUUAAGUAUCUAGAAUUGGAGAGAUGCCCUUAAUUAGGAUGUUGUUAUAAUGCAUGUAACGGAGAGAACAUUAUAUUUAAUGAGAUAAAUAAAUCAUUUCUGGAUUUCAUGGACACAUCCACCUAGUUUUCUAGGCAGCAAAAUGGAAGUGCUUUGCUAUUGCCUUCUUUCAGGAAAUAUUUCCAAUUUCCCAAUCUAGCCUAGAGCACUGGUAUUCCCUGAAGGUCCUCUCUGAAUGUACAGUAUUAAGCGGCUCAAUGCUAUUUAGUUUCUGGGCGCAGACACUGAGUAAGUGCUGCCAAAGGGUAGUCUAGCAAUGAAAAGAAGAAAGAAAAGAAAACCUCAAAGCAGCAGCAAACCACUUCCAUAACUGCCAAGCUGCCAAGAAAACUGCCUAGGUGCAGUCACCAAGACUCAAGCUUAACCCACAUUUGGGUUGAUAUAUAUAUAUAUAUUAAGAUCUAUAAAAUUUGUUUGUUCUUCAAAUUUGAGAAUAAUUUCUCUUUCAAAAAGAGUACAAAUAUAACUUCUACUGAGUAGAAAGAGCAACCCAGUGGCCUCAGUCCUGAAAAGCUAACUGACAUUAAAGACCACUGAGAUUAAUAGAACCAGUUAGCUGCCACUAAUGACCCAUUUAUUUCAAGGAAUUUAAGCAUGACUAACCUUUCUUGGAUCAGAGCCAUUGCCAUCCAUAAACUUUGAGCUAAUGUAAGAGGACAGAAAGGAUCCUUACACAAUUAGUCUGGAGAAAUUAUCUGUGGUUGAAAUAAAUAUAUAUUUAUUUGGUUACUCAUACCCACAGUGUAACUCCAAAUUAUUAAACCUGUUUUUGUAUAAUAGCAGAGAAAUUACUAUCUGCUAAUCUAUAAGUGUAGUCUACUAAAUAUUACUGCUGCUCUUAUUAACAAUUGAACUGCUGAUAUUUGGCAAUAGCAUUUAAAAAAAAAUUUAAGGGCUGUUUUGGGAGGGCAUGUCUCAAUACAAUAAUUUUGUCAUUUCACAUACACAGAGAAAACUCCAGUUCAAUAACGAUCAGAAAUCAGGAGAGUAUAAUAAAUUGAAUAUUUGGACACUCGAUUGAAAAAAAACAAUAAUACGCAUUGAAGACCAUUGUUACUUAGGGAUUAGCUAUGCUCUAAAAAUGGCUCUUACUUCAAGUAAUAAGGAGCUAGGUAUCAGAGGAAGAUUUUUAAUAGUUAACUUGUUCACUAAAUGCUGGUAAUGAUUUGAGCUCACUUAUCCUUCUUAUGCCCCUGUUAAUUUCUUAUUCUGAAUUCUUAAAUCAGAUUGCUAUUAUGUAGCAAUUACUUUCAAAAUAAAUUGAACUGCUGUUUAGAAGUGGCUCAGCAAUCAGUGGCUCAAAAGAUAAUUUUAUUCACUCACCCAAGUCUAACAGCACUAAUGAGGGAAGAUAACAAGUAGUAACUUCCUUUAUCUUUAAGAUGUCAAGACUGCCAAGAAAAAGUAAGAAACUCAAAAUACAAGAGCUCUGUUCAUAUCAUAUCAUUUAUUUAAUAAAAAUAAACUAUGGCUUAGCACAGUAUGUAGAUUUAGUAAAAUUAUUUUAAAAUAUCAGUAUGAUUACUUCGGCAAAGCAAGAAAUACUUCCUAAAUUCUAAAGAUAAUGAACAUUGCUGCUAUAUGAUUUUAAAAACAUUGGCAGGGUAAUCUAGUGUUCUCAUGUUUAGUACAAGUAUUUCAGUUCAGAAUGCCCAUGUUUCAAUGCAUUCAUGAACUAGAAUCAAUACAGCCCCCAAUAAAUGUUUUUAAAAGGAUUUUUAAAAAGAGAUAGUCUGACUAUAGAUACAAGAAUUUUUAUAAAGAUCACAAAUCCUUUUCCUAAAUUUGUAAUAUUAAGUAUAGCCACAGUAAAGUGUUUAUAAGAAAUUAUGGCACCCCAGCAGAAUCUACUGGUACAUGUUUGGUUUCAUAAUCUGAUGGUCAAACAAGCUUGCAUAUUAAAUUAAAUUUUACUAAUUCCUGGAAGUGACUUUAUUCUAGACAGAAUGCAAUGGAAAAGGAUUCUAAUUUAUCAAGAUAUAUAGCCACAGUAAUAUAAAAUAUUCACAUUUUUCUUCCAUUAAAAAACCCUACAUCUUAAAAUCUAAUUUUCAGAUGUCUAUAAGAAAACGCAUUGUCCUUAAGAAUAGUUCUACAAAAGCUGUAACUUUUUAUUGUAUGAGUAUUCACAUUUGUUUGUGCUGCCUUAUAUAUAAAUACUAAAAUCAUACCCUUAAAAAACAAUCUACACGGUUUCACUAAUCCUUUAUACUUAAUAUGUGGGAAAAUUGGAUCCUGGAUAAAAGAUUGUGAGGAGAAGAAAUGCGGCUGGCUAUUAGAACAGGACCGUAAUCACUGUAAGACGUAUAAAUUCCAUUUGUUAUUAUGUGUGAGUAAUCUACAGUUAGAUUCACUGUCUAACACUGGUGAAAAUUUAAUAAUUCAACUCCUAACCAAGGACCUAAGAAUUAUUAAGGUAGCGUCUAAGAAUAUAGGCAGUUCCAAGCUGGUUAUUUUUGUAAAAUUAGGGUGUGAAUCCAAUAAAUUCAAUUCAGAAAUGUUGGAUAUGAUAUAGAUGGCAAAUAAAUUUUAUAAAUAAAUAAAACAAUAAAAUAAAUAUUUCCAUAUUGAGGAAAUCCUUCGCUUUGAGGUGUCAAAUCAUGAUUAGUAUAACAAUGAAUUUCUGUUUUCAUAAGUUUUCAACUUAGAUCUGCAAGUCCUGGUAUUUUGUAAUUUAUUCCAAUUGUUUUUCCUCAAUCCUAGCAUCAUCUAGAUAAGCAAUAAUCAGAACUUAUCAAUAAUUGUUAUGUCAGGCAAAUUAUGAACAAGAUGCCUGUCUGUUUGCAUCUUAAAGCUCCAUAAGAUCAUUUCCCAAAACCUUCUCGAAUACUCAAUUUGAUGGUCUCAGUAGUUUUUAUUACAUUUUUAUCCAAAUCUCUGGCAAACUUUCCAGUGAAUAAUUUUGGCAACUUGUAGUCAGUCUGUGAAAUGUUGCUGUAGUCCCUGAUCAAAUGCUUGUUUCAUCUUUUUUGUCACAAAGUCAACGUUUGUUGUUUUGAAAAUUUUGUCAAUAUACAAUUUUUUAAAGUGCUGUCUAAGGCUCUUUGGUAUAGCAUCCAGUAUGCCAAUAACCACUGGGACCACCACUGCUAGUUUAUGCUACAAUCUUUCAACUUUGAUUUUCAGAUCUUGGAAUUUUGUGAUCUAGUUGUGAUCUUAAUAUUAUUAUAGUUUAUCACACCUUUUUUAUAGAUCUUUGAUUUACGACCAAACUAGAACCUGGAAUUCCUUUCAUAAGUCAUAAUGAUUUUAAGUUUAAGCACCGAUAUAAUUGGACCCAAUUUUAUCCCUUUUUUGUGAUGGUUGUUAAACAAAUACCACAGCUGUUAAGUGAACACUGUUGUUAUUAAGCAAACCUGACAGCCAUUAAGCAAAUCAGUGUAUUCCUAUGGGGUUGUUUUGCCGGAAAGCAGUCAAAAAGGCAGGAAGCCUGCAAAAAAAUCACAGUCACAUGAUCUCAGAAUGUUGUAACCAGAUGUAAAAAUGAGCCAGUUCUCAAGCUGCUAAAAUGCAGUUAUGAGACUGUGUGUGUGUUUUUGCACACGGCUGUUAGAACUCCAGAAUCAGGUCAUAAGUAGCUUUUGAGGAGGUCUGUUCUAACUUCAAAUUGUCACUAAGUGACUGGUCAUAAAUCAAGGACUACCUGUAUAUAACUCAAAGCAGCAAGCAUAGCUAAUACUCUUGCCUCCAGUUUUCUUCACUAACAACUAUGAGAAGGUGGAGUGGGCUAAGAGAAAAUGCUACCCAACUGGCUUUCAUGCCUAAAGGGCUUUAGAACUCAAAAUUUCUUGGCUUUAGGCUAGCACUACACCACCUAACUUAACUACUACUUUCACCAGUGAAAAAUAAAGGAGCUCCCCUCCCCUGCAAACCUUGGCUGCUCAUUUUACACCAAUGAUUGUAACACACAAAGUCCCACUUUAGCCUUUGGUUUCUAUUGUAAGGCUAGGCUGGGCUUCAGACUCCGCCUCUAGGCCAUUUUUGAAAUGAAACACUGACUAGAAGCGAGAAAGCUGGGACUUUAUUUGAUUCAUCAGGCCAGUCUCAACUCACAAUACCCCUAAGUAUAGUAUGUAGGUAUUAAUGGGGAGAAGAAAGCAAAAAGUUUAGAAGAACUGAAAUGUAUAUAAGAAAUGUGAUGUUAAAUUCACAUUGUAACAAAAAAAAACACUAUAAAAUAGUACUAUUAUAACUUUUGUGUAUGACUUUAUCAUUGUGUUGGGAGCCAGUUUGGUGUAGUGGCUAGGGCGACAGACUAGAGACUGGGAGACCAUGAGUUCUAGUCCCACCCUAGUCACAAAGCCACCUGCUGACUUUGGGCAGGUACUCUCUCUCUCAGCCCUAGGAAACAGGCAAUGACAAACCUGAAAAACAUUGCCAAGAAAGCUGCAAGGAUUUAUCCAGGCAGUCUCUUGAAAACUGGACACGAUUGAACAGAAGAAAAAAAUGUAUUUAAAUAAUUUGAAAUAGCUACCACUGGUAGUGCACAACAUGGAGUAUGCUAAAGCUGUGGGUGCAGCCCCCAUUUCAUUUUCAAAUAUUGCUGAUCUUUAAAGGAGUUAUUAAAUAAAUGGUGGAAUAAUCAUGUGCAUUUAAUUAAACUUAAUUGUAUUAAAUUAAAUCUACUUUUAAAAUCUUCAACCCAGCUACUUAAAGGCCGAGUACAGUCAAUGGCCUAGAAAGAUUGCUUGCUUCUACUGGGUAAGGCUGCAACCUAAUACCAAUUAACACCUGCACUUUAUUGCAGGGUUCUGUGGCUGGACAGUCAUAAACCGCAGUGGGUAAGCUGGGAAAACACAUCACUUUAUUCCAAACCUAAUAAACCCAAUAUGACUGGGUGACUUUGGAUCAGUCACUUUCUCUCAACCCACCUUACAGGGUUGUUGUUAUGGAGAAAAUAAGAGGCGAAGGGAGUAUUAGGUACUUUUGUCAUCUUGAGUUAUUUAUAAAAAAUAAUACAGGUGGAAUAAACAUAAAUGAAAUGAAAUAAUGAUUAUAGAUAUCUUGUUACUUGCAGAUUCAUGCUCGUCAAUACAAACUGACCUGAUGAACAUGGUUACCCUAAGAGAGCUGCUUGUAUUCCCCAUUUCCAUAAAACCAGGGGUAGCAAGGUAUAAAUGUGUCGCUUUUCUAUGGUAAUGCCUGAUCUUUGGAAUAGCCAAAGCCCCAUUGAAAUCUGACCAAACACAUCUUGAUUUCAUUCUGGAGGAUGUUGAAAAUUCAGCUCUUCUAAAAUCCAUUCUAUCUUCCAUUAUGGAUAUAUGCUCCUCUGUCCAUCUACGUGCAUAUACCUUGCAGCCGAUAUAAUGUAUAAAAUUAAAGUACCAUGAUUCCUUUCCACUUUUUUAGCCACCGUUCCUAAAAGAAAAGCUUCAGGUUCCAAUUUUACAUUCAUUUUCAAAAUUUUCUGAACCAAAAUGCAUAUCUGGUAAGUUCUUAUAAGUUCACCAAAGAUAAUACAAAGUACAGUACUUUCAGAUUGAUUUCCAACAUGUGUUUGAAAUUUCCUUACACAUUUUCCAUAGUUUAUCAGGAUUUAAAAUAUCAUUGAUACAUCAUUGUAUACAAAAUUUCUUUCAAAUUAUAAUUCCCUGUAAAUCUCAAACCUGGUGCCCAUAUCGUUUCCUAUUGAUCAAACAUAAUACUAAAUCUGUUUUGCCCAUUUAACUAUAAAAUUUUUCAUAUAUUCUUCUUUGUGAUUAAAUUUCAGUAAAAAUUUAUACACUUUUUGCAAUAAGGUACAUAAUUCAUUUUCAAAGGUGCAUAAUUCUUUUUAAUUAAUUUAAAUAUUUCAUACAACUGUACAUAAAUAAACUAGUGGCAAAUAUAACCCUCUUUUUCCAAUUGUUUUAAUUUUAAGUCUAAAUUGCAUUUCACCAAAAACCAAUUGAUAAAAUUAAGUCAACUUGGGUUGCUGACUGUCAUUUCCCUUCUAAAAAAAGUCUUCUUGGUGAGAUGCCCACAAAGGUAUUUUAGGAAGUAACUUCCUUUUAUAUCUGUUCCAGAUUUUCACUAUGGCACAUCUAACAAAAUAAUUCUUUAACACUAAGAUAGCUUUCAACCUCUGAUACCUUAAGCCACCCAAAUCUCAAUUCAGGACCUUCUAAUUCCAACAGCCUUUAAAAAAAGUUACCCACUCUUUCAACCACACCAAACAACAUACUUCAAAAUAUAAUUUUAAACCAGGUUAACCCACCACUUUCUUUAGCAUCUUAGAAUAAUUUAUAUUUGUUAUUAACCUUGAAGCCAGCUAUGUGGGCAUCACUUCUAAUGUGACACUUCUAAUGUCUCUAUUUAAGAUUCCAAAAAUUAAAAUAAGUAAUGGUGAUGGAGUUAGCUGAAAUGACAAAAUUGACUGCUUUGAUUGGAGAUAAUAGUAUGAUUAGAUUUCUUGAGGCAUGGUUAGACUUCCUUCAGGAAAAGGAGAAAAAUAAUGUUUUGACUUUGGGAUUUCAUGAUUAGAUUAGAUCACCUAAAUAUUGUGGAUUGUUAAAAUAUAUGGCCAUGAUCUACCUAUAGUUAAUAUGUUUUAUAUGUUAAAGUAAGAAUAUAUGAAUAUUUUUCUAAUAUUAGUUAUUAAUAUUUUUAAGAUCUUUAUCAAUUGAUAUUUACCUAAACAUAGACAAGAGGUUGCUAUAUUUUAACAUUCUCUCUGCACUGAAAAAUGUCAGCAGUCACUUCUUUUAUGAUAUAUUUGUUUUAUGGGGGGUUUGCUAAUUUUUAACCUUUUUCUUUUAUCACUUUGCCUUUUCCCUUUUAGUUUGUAUUUUAUGUAUUUUUUUAAAAAAAAUUAAUAAAGUUAUAUAUUUAAAAAAAACCAGAGCUCUUCCAUACUAUUUCUUUAUUGACCAGAACUAUCUGAAUUUGAAUGUAGUAGUAAGUGAUGAUUUUUGCUAUGUUCUGCUAUUCCAUUAUGUUUACAGGUAAUCCUUGUUUAGUCAGUGCUUCUUUCAGCACCAUUACAACAGUGAUGAAAAGGCAACAAUACUCACAUUUAUUAAGUUUCUCAGAUCUGUACAGCAAAGGAAUGCUGAAGUAAGAUUGUAAGCACAGUCAUGGUUUUACUUAGUAAUCCCUCCAUCUAACAACUGAAAUGCCAGUCUCAAUUGUGAUUGCUAAAUGAGGACUUAUUCAUUUUAAUUUUUUUAAUGUCAUUUGCUCUUAUGUUGGAUGUUUUAUUAUUAGUGUUAUUGUCUAGCAUGGGUAUCUUAUUGAUCUAUUGUGGAACUUUGUGAUAUAAUGUUAACUGCUGGCAGUCCUAUCAGAUUGGGUAGUUACUUUACUCGUACAGUAGGCCUGUGUGAGGUAACCUAGAUUUGUUUCAGUGACGAGCGCCAUGCAGUAAAGGUGAUAUGAUUCUUUUUACUGAAACUAAGAAGCAGCCUGUAUUGAAACACUCUGCCCUGCCUUGAAAACUCCCCAUAUAUACUUAUGGUUUGAAAAAAAAAAAGCACCCCUUUCUGGCUUGGAUAAGUACAGCUGGGGAAUGUGGAGAGAAUUGCCCUUCAGCGGCCUUCCCUCAGCAUUCUUCUGCAGCAUUCCUCCAAGACAGAAACAGCUCAGGUACAGAUGUUUCCAAGAUGCAGAAGCCUCUUCAGGUUUUCAAAAGUGCCGGAGGAUGCUGAGUUUACUGCCUUUGGGCAAUGGAGCAAAGCAAACAAAAUGGCCUCUUUUCUCCUUGCUCUUCGAAAUGAGGUGGCCAUGAUACUUCAUAAGGCAUCUCCAAAAAAAUGCUGUGUUCAAUCUUCACUAAGUGAAACAUUCAAAUCAGUGGUGAAAUCCAAUUUUUUUUACUACCUGUUCUGUGGGCAUGGCUUGGUGGGCAUGGCGUGGUUUGGUGGGCAUGGCACCAUUCUCACCCCACUCCAGGGGAAAGAUACUGCAAAAUCACCAUUCCCUCCCCACUCCUGGGGGAAGGAUAUUGCAAAAUCUCCAUUCCCACCCCACUCUGGGGCCAGCCAGAGGUGGCAUUUGCCAGUUCUCUGAACUACUCAAAAUUUCUGUUACCCGUUCUCCGAACUGCUUUUUGUCUUUGGAACAUUUCACUUUUUCUCCAAGACAUUUCUUCAAUUCUGACUGGUAGGGAAUGGAAGGAUUUAUAUUCUUUGCAAUCUGUUUGUAGUUAGCACUCUGAGAGUGGUUGAGGCCAGUUGGAGGUUAAUCUGUGUCCUUAGAGUCAGCUGAAUCAGAGUUCAAACAGGUGUGGAACCUAUUCUGAUCUAGCCUUAGCAGGCAAUGAGAAACUGCUUAUUCACGAGUAAUACAACCCUCUUUUUUUCCUUAAAACAGGGCACGAACAGUCUUUAUUCACAUUAAAUACAGAACCCGGGAUAGCUCAGGCUGUUAAGAAGCCUGUUAUUAGAACACAGUAGCCUGCAAUUACUGCAGGUUCAAGCCCGGCUCAAGGUUGACUCAGCCUUCCAUCCUUUAUAAGACUGUGCCUAAAAUCUGCGUUUUGCCCAGAGUGCUACAUUUUAUGAAAGAUAUUGACAAACUGGAUCAUGUCCAGAGGACAACUAACAUUAUAAGUUCAUUGAUAAGCUACUGUUCAUCUUUCAUGUAACCUGCAUCUACAUAAUCACAUUGUCUUCAGCUCCCUUCCCAGACCAGCCAUCCAAACAGCCAUCCAAACAGCCACCCAACAAUCCACCCAACCAGCCAUCCAAACAACCAUCCAUCCAAACAACCAAACUACCAUCCAACCAUCUAUACAACCAUCUGUUGUACACAACCCCCAACCUACUAACAUCCAAAACUAGGUAUGCACGCCCCUUACCUCUUCAACACCAAUCAUUUCAGAUCUCAAAUGCAAAUUGAUAAAUGCACGAAGCAUAGUCAACAAAUUACCUGAAUUUAUCCUCUUAUUAAACAGUGGCACAUUUGAUAUCAUUUUUGUUUGUGAAACAUGGCUGAACUCAUCCCUUCCUGACUCCAUUAUCUCAAACAAAGAAUAUCAAGUCUAUCGAUCAGAUCGUG